AAGUCGUAACAAGGUUUCCGUAGGUGAACCUGCGGAAGGAUCAUUACCAAACGUGACACUCUGUGUUGCUUACACUUCCGAGCAGGCGUGGGGUGUCCCCACGCCAGGGCCGUGCUGCUCGCAGCCCGCGCCAGCGCCGUCCCCUGCUCUCCUCACCGGGAGCAGAAGCUCAGUCCCUCGUGGACGAAAGGACGGACCGGUGCUUUCGCAUCAACCCUGUGCUUGAAAAGGAACAACAACAGCAGUACAACUGCAAACGGUGGAUCACUCGGCUC
rnacentral:misc_RNA from 1 species